rnacentral:rRNA from 1 species
GAUGAACGCUGACAGAAUGCUUAACACAUGCAAGUCAAGGUGGCGGACGGGUGAUUAACGCGUAAGAACUUGCCUCACAGAUAGGGACAACAUUUGGAAGCGAAUGCUAUUACCUGAUACUGUGAGAGAGCUUUGCGUCCCAUUAGCUAGUUGGAGAGGUAACGGCUCACCAAGGCGAUGAUGGGUAGCCGGCCUGAGAGGGUGAUCUGGCACAAGGGGACUGAGACACGGCCCUUACUCCUAGGGUAGGCAGUAGUUGGGAAUAUUCGACAAUGGGCGAAUGUCUGAUCCAGCCACGCCGCGUGUGUGAAGAAGGUUUUCGGAUUGUAAAGCACUUGAGGUUGUGAGGCGUUACCUACAGAAGAAGCACCGGCUAACUCUGUGCCAGCAGCCGCGGUAAUAC